ACUAAAUGGAGGGUUAUUUAAGGAAAUUUUGGUCCAAAAAUUGAUUCAGAGUAAAAUAACAAAAAGAAGAGUUGAGGAGAUGAUAACUCAUCCCUCUUCACGGCAGAGCAGUUGAGGGGAAAUGGUGAGAAAGGCUGCGGAAGUAAAAUAACAAAAAGGAGUUGGUGAGAGGAGAAGGAACGACUCAAACUGAAAUCUCUGCUCUCAAGUGUCUCAAGAGCUGAUCAACCGAGGUGUUAUUCAAGGAAAGGCGUAAAAGCUGUUAAUGUUCUAGGAGCAUGCACUCAAGAUAUGUUGUUUAUAUAUGUGUUGUUGGGUGGAAAGGGUCUGCAAAGGACGGCAGAAUACUUCGAGAUGAUAUUACUAGGAGAAAUGGAUUAGUAGUCUCACAUGGUACUAAUUGGUUGAUGUUAGCUAUACAAACUGAGAAGGAUUUCUCGCUCCAUUUAGAGGCUAGUGAUAUCAUUGGAAUGUUUGAAGUGCUCAUAACCAAACUACCUCCUCAGAGGAGUGCUUCAAUAUGAAGCACUCGACUGUGAGAAAUGUCAUUGAGAGAUCAUUUGGUCUACUGAAGAGGCGAUGGGCAAUACUGAGAAGUCCUUCUCAUUACCCGAUAUAAGUUUAUUAUAUGAUUAUCAUGGUUUGUGUUCUGCUACAUAACUUUAUUCGAAAUGAAUUGGAAAAAGAUCCAUUUGAAAUUGAUAAUCUAGAAGGAUAUGAGGUGGAAGAAGAAGAACAGAAUGAAAAUAAUCAGGUUGAAACAAUAACAUCCAUGGGGACAUCAAAUGGGUGGUCUCAAUUUAGAGCAGAUUUAACAAGUACUAUGUAUAAUCAUUGACUUGCAAGUGAAAACAAUACAUGAAUUUACUAAUGACCAUCAGUUAUGACAGUCCUUGUGUAAAUAAUAUAAUGCGGACUUAUGUUUCAGA